UCCUCAUAAAUCUUUGUUUAAUUUUCUCAUGUGAAUCUAAUUCGUUCUCUGGCCAGACGAACCCCCAUUUGGGAAGAGGGAAUGUCUUCCUCCCCUACACUAGCAAGAAGGAAGAUGGCUGACUCAUGUCCAAAAUAACCAUCUCCCAGAACAGAGACUACAGGACAAAGCUGAUCCAGAUCCUGCUGUUCAACCGGACUACUCUUGUGAAAAAACCGGUGAUUUAGAACUACUUUUUAGAACAAAACGAGCCCUACCUCGAUUAUUUUCCUCUUAUCUCCUUUUGUAAUGACAGACAAUUCUCUUUAAAAACGGGCUCAACAUUAUGCUGAGCUCCGUAGCCAAACCACGUGUUGGGUUUGCAGACCCUUGCCUCUGUCUAGGGCUUCUGGCCUCCCCUGGUGGGUCUCUCCCCUCCAGGGCACUGACUGGCGUGCAAUGCUUCUCUUCACUACACAAGGUAUUUCUAGCUCUUCUCUUCUACAAGAUUCAUCUGUUACUAAUCAUAAUGUCUCCUUGGGGCCAUCCGUCUCUGUCACCUGGGAGCUCCCUGGCCACAAUCAAACCUUUUCCUUCAACUC